rnacentral:tRNA from 1 species
GCUGGUGUAGCUCAAUAGGUAGAGCUCCUGAUUUGUAAUCAGGUGGUUGUGGGUUCAAUUCCUAUCACCAGCU